rnacentral:rRNA from 1 species
AGGAUGAACGCUGGCGGCGUGCCUAACCUAUGCAAGUCGAACGAGGCUUUGAGCCGAGUGGCGGACGAGUGAGUAACACGUACCUAAUCUGCCUGUAAGUGGGGAAUAACCGCCCGAAAGGGUGGCUAAUACCCCAUGUGCUCCACGGAGUAAAGCUUUUGCGCUUACAGAUGAGGGUGCGGCCUAUCAGCUAGUUGGUGAGGUAAAAGCUUACCAAGGCUAUGACGGGUAGCUGGUCUGAGAGGAUGAUCAGCCACGCUGGGACUGAGAACGGCCCAGACUCCUACGGGAGGCAGCAGUGAGGAAUAUUGAGCAAUGGGCGCAAGCUGACUCAGCAACGCCGCGUGGACUG